rnacentral:misc_RNA from 1 species
UCGCGGCUUAUCACCGGCAGUCUCUCUAGAGUCCCCGCCAUGACGCGCUGGCAACUAGAGACAGGGGUUGCGCUCGUUGCGGGACUUAACCCAACAUCUCACGACACGAGCCGACGACAGCCAUGCAGCACCUGUGCACGGGCUCCGAAGAGGGGCCCCGGUUUCUCGGGGCUUUCCCGUGUAUGUCAAGCCUAGGUAAGGUUCUUCGCGUUGCGUCGAAUUAAACCACAUGCUCCGCCGCUUGUGCGGGUCCCCGUCAAUUCCUUUGAGUUUUAGCCUUACGGCCGUACUCCCCAGGCGGGGUGCUUAAUGCGUUAGCUGCGGCACGGAUCGCGUCGAUAGCGACCCACACCUAGCACCCAUCGUUUACGGCGUGGACUAC